rnacentral:lncRNA from 1 species
CCAUAUAAAAUAAAUACAUAAAAUAUAAAAUAUAUUUAUUUUUCCAGGGCAAGCUGGCCNUUGUAGCUCCUUCCCAAAAUCAGGAUGGGAUUUAGGAUUUUUUGCUGCCAUUAAAUUUGGGGUUUCAGGGCCAAAUCCCAAAAGGAAACGCAGAGAGCAGGAAUUGAAAAUUGUGCAAAAAGUUCUGGAUUGGACCCAAAUCCCUUCUCCAAAACACCCCCAGAGAGCGGGGAGAGCCCCCCAAAAAUGCAGAUUUUUGAGGGAAAAAGGCACCAAAAAGGGGGUGACACAGAGAGGUGGCAGCAGCACAAUGGGGACACAGAGGGGACAAAAACCCACAGCUGGUCCAUGGUGGUGGCAGCAGCAGGAAUGUCCCCUCAGGGCCACCAGGGUCACUUUGGGGACACCCCCAGGUGUCCCUGCCCUGCUCCAGGUGAGCCCUGCCAGGGGUUGGGACAGGAUAUCCCAAUGUCCCCAAUGUCACCCAACAGGGCAGGGCAGAGCUGCAGCACAUCCAGCAGGGUGACCUCAAUGUCCUCAAUGUCCCCAGCCCUGAGUGACACCAAAUCCAGGCCCCAAACCCAGCACUGCCACACCUGGAGAUGCAGCACCAGCAGCAAAGGUGACAAUCAAGGUGACAAAGCCACCACACUGCCCAAAGUGGCUUCACCCCCUCAUUCCCCAUUCCAAAGCCAGCCCCAAAGUGCAGAUUUCAGUUUCACAAGAACCACAAUAAUCAUACACAAAAACACAAACUCACAAGCUCGCACCAGCUUUAGAAAAGGCACCUGGGGCAUCGCCUGGGCUCAGAGCGACGCCCNAAAAUGAAUGGGAAAAUGGAUGGAAAAAUAAGGCAAAAAUGAAUGGAAAAAUAAGGGAAAAAUGAACGGGAAAAUGAAUGGGAAAAAAAAGAGGGAAAAAUAAGGGAAAAUGGAUGGGAAAAUAAGGGAAAACAAGGGAAAAACAAGGGGAAAAUGAAUUGAAAAAUAGGGGAAAAUGGAUGGAAAAAUAAGGGGAAAAUAAGGGAAAAAUGAAUGGGAAAAUGGAUGGGAAAAUAGAUGGAAAAAUAAGGGGAAAAUGAAUGGGAAAAUGAAUGGAAAAGUGAAUGGAAAAAUGAAUGGAAAAAUAAGGGAAAAAUAAAUGGAAAAACAGGGGGGAAAUGAAUGGAAAA